rnacentral:rRNA from 1 species
GAUGAACGCUAGCUACAGGCUUAACACAUGCAAGUCGAGGGGAAACGGCAUCGAAAGCUUGCUUUUGAUGGGCGUCGACCGGCGCACGGGUGAGUAACGCGUAUCCAACCUGCCCAUCACUUGGGAAUAACCUUGCGAAAGUAAGACUAAUGCCCAAUGACAUCCCACGAAGGCAUCCGAAUGGGAUUAAAGAUUUAUCGGUGAUGGAUGGGGAUGCGUCUGAUUAGCUUGUUGGCGGGGUGACGGCCCACCAAGGCAACGACCAGUAGGGGUUCUGAGAGGAAGGUCCCCCACAUUGGAACUGAGACACGGUCCAAACUCCUACGGGAGGCAGCAGUGAGGAAUAUUGGUCAAUGGGCGAGAGCCUGAACCAGCCAAGUAGCGUGCAGGAUGACGGCCCUAUGGGUUGUAAACUGCUUUUAUAAGGGAAUAAAGUGGGUCACGUGUGACUUUUUGCAUGUACCUUAUGAAUAAGGACCGGCUAAUUCCGUG